rnacentral:rRNA from 1 species
AUUGAACGCUGGCGGCAUGCCUUACACGUGCAAGUCGAACGGCAGCGGACCUUCGGGUGCCGGCGAGUGGCGAACGGGUGAGUAAUAUAUCGGAACGUACCUUUCAGUGGGGGAUAACGUAGCGAAAGUUACGCUAAUACCGCAUAUUCUGUGAGCAGGAAAGCAGGGGAUCGCAAGACCUUGCGCUGAUUGAGCGGCCGAUAUCAGAUUAGCUAGUUGGUGAGGUAAAGGCUCACCAAGGCGACGAUCUGUAGCGGGUCUGAGAGGAUGAUCCGCCACACUGGAACUGAGACACGGUCCAGACUCCUACGGGAGGCAGCAGUGGGGAAUUUUGGACAAUGGGCGCAAGCCUGAUCCAGCCAUGCCGCGUGAGUGAAGAAGGCCUGG